GCCCCCUUAGCUUAACGGCAGAGCAGUGGUUUUGUAAACCUCAGACAUCAGUUCAAUUCUGAUAGGGGGCU
rnacentral:tRNA from 1 species